rnacentral:misc_RNA from 1 species
GAUGAAGAACGUAGCGAAAUGCGAUACUUGGUGUGAAUUGCAGAAUCCCGUGAACCAUCGAGUCAUUGAACGCAAGUUGCGCCCGAAGCCAUUAGGCCGAGGGCACGCCUGCCUGGGCGUCACACGUCGUUGCCCCCCCAUCUACUCCUUCGGGAUUGCGGGGGGCGGAUGAUGGCCUCUCGUGCGCCUCGUCGCGCGGUUGGCCUAAAUGCCAAGUCCUCGGCGACGCACGCCACGACAAUCGGUGGUUGCGAAACCUCGGUUGCCUGUCGUGUGCGGUCGUCGCGCAUCGAGGGCUCGAAAAAAUUGCCGGGCUUCGGCUCGACUUUCAACGCGACCCCAGGUCAGGCGGGGUUACCCGCUGAAUUUAAGCAUAUCAAUAAGCGGAGGA